rnacentral:rRNA from 1 species
UACGUAGGGGGCAAGCGUUGUCCGGAAUCAUUAGGCGUAAAGAGCGUGUAGGCGGCCAGAAAAGUCCGCUGUGAAAACUCGAGGCUCAACUUCGAGCUGUCGGUGGAAACUUUCUGGCUAGAGUCCGGAAGAGGAGAAUGGAAUUCCUGGUGUAGCGGUGAAAUGCGCAGAUAUCAGGAAGAACACCCGUGGCGAAGGCGGUUCUCUGGGACGGUACUGACGCUGAGACGCGAAAGCGUGGGGAGCGAACAGG